ACUCCUACGGGAGGCAGCAGUGGGAAUAUUGGACAAUGGGCGCAAGCCUGAUCCAGCCAUGCCGCGUGUGUGAAGAAGGCCUUCGGGUUGUAAAGCACUUUCAGCGAGGAGGAAGGGUGUUGUGUUAAUAGCACAGCAUUUUGACGUUACUCGCAGAAGAAGCACCGGCUAACUCCGUGCCAGCAGCCGCGGUAAUACGAAGGGGGCUAGCGUUGUUCGGAAUUACUGGGCGUAAAGGGCGUGUAGGCGGUCUGAUCAGUCAGAGGUGAAAGCCCUGGGCUCAACCUAGGAAUUGCCUUUGAUACUGUCAGACUAGAGUUCGGGAGAGGGUAGUGGAAUUCCCAGUGUAGAGGUGAAAUUCGUAGAUAUUGGGAAGAACACCAGUGGCGAAGGCGGCUACCUGGACCGAUACUGACGCUGAGGCGCGAAAGCGUGGGGAGCAAACAGGAUUAGAUACCCUGGUAGGCUCU
rnacentral:rRNA from 1 species